rnacentral:rRNA from 1 species
CCCUUAGAUGUCCUGGGCCGCACGCGCGCUACACUGAUGCAUGCAACGAGUUUAUAACCUUGGCCUGAAAGGUCUGGGUAAUCUUUUGAACGAGCAUCGUGAUAGGGAUAGAUUAUUGCAAUUGUUAAUCUUGAACGAGGAAUUCCUAGUAAACGCGAGUCAUCAGCUCGCAUUGAUUACGUCCCUGCCCUUUGUACACACCGCCCGUCGCACCUACCGAUUGAAUGGUUCGGUGAAGAUCUCGGACUUCGAUAUUUAUUCUUUAUUGAGUUUAUAUUGUGGGAAGUUAUCUAAACCUCAUCAUUUAGAGGAAGGUGGAGUCGUAACA